rnacentral:tRNA from 1 species
GUUAUUUUGGCAGAGUAGUGCAAUUAAUUUAGAAUUAAUAAAUGUAAAAAAAUUACAAAUAACA